rnacentral:rRNA from 1 species
UACGGGGGGAGCAAGCGUUGUUCGGAUUUACUGGGCGUAAAGGGCGCGUAGGCGGCCAGCACAAGUCAGUUGUGAAAUCUCCGAGCUUAACUCGGAAAGGUCAACUGAUACUGUGCGGCUAGAGUGCGGAAGGGGCAACUGGAAUUCUUGGUGUAGCGGUGAAAUGCGCAGAUAUCAGGAGGAACACCGGUGGCGAAGGCGGGUCUCUGGGCCGAUACUGACGCUGAGGAGCGAAAGCGUGGGGGAGCGAACAGG